rnacentral:rRNA from 1 species
AUUGAAGCCUUGGUGACUGAGCGGCGGACGGGUGAGUAACGCGUGGGUAACCUGCCUCAUACAGGGGGAUAACAGUUGGAAACGGCUGCUAAUACCGCAUAAGCGCACAGUGCUGCAUGGCACAGUGUGAAAACUCCGGUGGUAUGAGAUGGACCCGCGUCUGAUUAGCUAGUUGGUGGGGUGACGGCCGUACCAAGGCGACGAUCAGUAGCCGGCCUGAGAGGGUGAACGGCCCACAUUGGGACUGAGACACGGCCCAAACUCC